ACAGAACAAGUGUGUACAACCACCUCCACGAAUGGGGACAUAUGGAUAUCAGGAGAACACUGGCAGUGUCCCCAAAGGACAGGUCUAUGGGGCAGCAGAUACCCUACAAUGCAUUACAAUGAUGAGACCAACUCAAAGCCUUGGGCCUGGACUGCUUCCUAGACAGCUCUCUGGCUUGCUCCCUCCUUCACACUUUGACCUCAUGGCACCAAUGGUUGUACCACCUGACACUCUACCCUACUGAGGUAACCUGCUGUUCCUGGCUGUGGUCAGCCAUUUUGGGACGAAGCUGCACGGGCCCAGGCUCAUUGCUAUGGGCUGUAGGAUCCUUCCUCACAGGCCUGCCACACUUCUUCAUGGGACAGUAAAACAACUGAAAUACUGGUUUAACUUGUACUUGUAGAGGUACUCCAAUGCGGAGGAUAGUUUCACUUUAGAAAUUAAGAAAUGUAUCCAGUUGUUGAUUAAUCUCAGUUAACUUCGAACUAAAGUCUUGCGUAAUUGGUCAGCUGCUUGAUUAUGUUUUGGGGCCAUACAUGUUAUGAGAAGGGAUUAAGAGAUGCUAUAACUGUGACGUGGUAAGGUUGGACCCAGGUGCAGAGAAGAGACCAGAAGUUGAAGCAGUGGUUCCAACCAGGGUCUCCACCCCUCAAGGGCCCACUUAACUGCCAAGAGCUCCCGGUUACCUAUAUUGUAGUUGCAUUCCGCUGGCGAGAACCAUUUAGAGAGAAAGGAGCAUGGGUGCAGUUCCUUGUCCUCCUCUUUCCUCUGUGAAAGUACCGCACCAGCUCCGGUGUCCGAGGCGUCCACCUCUACCACAAAGGGACGAGUAGGAUCAGGAUGAAUGAGGAUGGGUCCGGAGGUGAAACGUCCCUUGAGCUCUAUGAAUGCCCUGUCAGUCUCGGGAUUCCUGCAAAAACCUGCUUGAGUGAGGUGGGACAGGGCCGUAUGUGUUCCGGGAAGGGUUUUUGGAGAAGAUCAGGAUGUCGUCGAGGUAAACAAAGACGAACCGAUCCAACAAAUCCCUAAGAGUGUCAUUGAUCAAUGCUUGAAAGGCAUAAGUUAUUUUCAACCAUUAACUGGGGCCUUGUUGAGGCCUUAUCUAAGUAAGUAAUGGCUGAUUGACAAUAAAGUAUUAUUUUGAUGUAUGGAAAAUAUAUGGUAUGCAAUUCCUAUGUAGAGAAGGUUCUCUCUGGUAGUUGUUCAAUAUGACUUCAACUUUUACAGGGUACUCUUGUAAAAUAAAUGUUUAAUCUCAGUGUGACUCUUAAACCCUGUUUAAAUAAAAGUUUAAUAAAAAAAAACAUCAACACAAACACAGGAUAUGGGCUACACAUGGUAUCACAUCCUGACAUACUUGGCCCUACUGCACCUGCAUUCCAGCAUCUGGAAUUGACUCAACAUGUUUGAGGUGGGGGAUCAAUACAUGUGCUGGAAGAGGUGUCUGCCAAAUGUAUGAUUCUGAUAUGUACAGGUAAGUUCAUUGUGUGUGGGGGGCAUCCAUGUUUGUGUCCGUACUCUGAAGUGCGUUUGAAUAUGAAUGAGCAGCAGUGUUGUGAUACUUAAUGAUCAUUUUUCACUAUCUUCAACCCUCAAGAACCAGGGUGAGUCUGGGUCACCCUUUUACUGGGCAAACACAACUUGUAUAUCAUCAUAGACAGGGCCGAAACGUUAAUCUUUUAACCUUGCUUGAAUAAAACAAUGCAUUUUCUAUAGUGAGCAAGAGUCGGGCUUUUUCCUUUUCUAUGAUGAUAAUUUUUUUGGGUUGCACCUCAACGUUGGUUGAGUGCCCUCUGUUUUUUUGUUGUCAAAUAAUACCUUUGUUUUUAAAUGUAAGUUAAUUAUUAAAAGCAUUAAAUUGGGAUGUUUUCCACUUAUUUACACAACCUACUCCACACUUGCAAAGUGACAGUUUAUAGACAUUUUCUGAAAUGAAG
rnacentral:lncRNA from 1 species